rnacentral:rRNA from 1 species
UGGGGAAUAUUGCGCAAUGGGGGAAACCCUGACGCAGCGACGCCGCGUGCGGGAUGAAGGCCUUCGGGUUGUAAACCGCUUUUGAUUGGGAGCAAGCUUUCGGGUGAGUGUACCUUUCGAAUAAGCGCCGGCUAACUACGUGCCAGCAGCCGCGGUAAUACGUAGGGCGCAAGCGUUGUCCGGAAUUAUUGGGCGUAAAGCGCGCGCAGGUGGUUUAGAAAGUCUGAUGUGAAAGCCCACGGCUCAACCGUGGAGGGUCAUUGGAAACUAAUAAACUUGAGUGCAGGAGAGAAAAGUGGAAUUCCUAGUGUAGCGGUGAAAUGCGUAGAGAUUAGGAGGAACACCGGUGGCGAAAGCGGCUUUUUGGCCUGCAACUGACACUGAGGCGCGAAAGCGUGGGGAGCAAACAGG